rnacentral:rRNA from 1 species
ACGAAGGAUGCGAGCGUUAUCCGGAUUUAUUGGGUUUAAAGGGAGCGUAGGCGGUCUUAUAAGUCAGUGGUGAAAUCUCGUUGCUUAACAACGACCGUGCCAUUGAUACUGUAGGACUUGAGUACAGUUGCCGUUGGCGGAAUGUGUCAUGUAGCGGUGAAAUGCAUAGAUAUGACACAGAACACCGAUUGCGAAGGCAGCUGACGAAACUGUAACUGACGCUGAGGCUCGAAAGCGUGGGGAUCAAACAGGA